UCCUCCUUGUCUUCUUCCGACUCCUUGUCUUCUUCCGAUUUAUUAGCAGAAGAAUUUUCAACAUUGCCAUCAACAUCACUUGACUCUACAAUUUCUUUUGCUUUCCUUUUCUUCUCAUAUUUUUUUAAUUUUUUUGUCUUUUAAAGGAGGAGUUCUUUUCAAUCGUUUUUUUUUUAAAUAUCAGCCAUCUUCAAAGAGCCGUUACGAAACUUGGACCUAAGCUUCUUUGUACUCAUUGAUUUCUUCAACUCUGUAGGAGUAGAAACAACUUUAAAUACUUCGUCUUGAGUUAAUCUAAGACUAAAAGAUGGUCAUUAUCAGACAAAAAAUUAAUAGGUGGUAUACCCUUAUUUAUACGUGAUUUUGAUGUUUUUUCUUCCAUUUGAGCAUAAAAAUUUCAAAUUCGAAGUUGCUAAUGGUGGGAAUUAUGAAAAACAAAUUUUUUUUUUGAUAAAUUGAUAAUAUGCAAUAACUGAAUUUAUUAGUUACCUGAAAUUAAAGAAUACUAUCCUUAUUAGAUUGUGCAAAAAGCGUUUACUAGGAAAAAAUUUUGAAAGAGAAAAUCUGAUAUUAAGAGUGAAAAAGGGUAAAGUUUGAAGCAAUGAAAGGAAGGAGAAAGAUAUGGGGCAUGAAAAAAGAAAUCUUAAACACGGUAACUUUUGAAAGACGGUAAGUGAGGGACCACAUUUAAAAUAAUGUUAGUUUUGCUACACAAUGUAAUUUCAUUAAAGUAUUGCUAUUUUUUAUAAUUUAAAUCUUAAGUAUGCUACUUCUUAUAGUUUUUCCUAUUGUGUAUAAAUGAGUGAACCGUAAGGAGUAGACUAUAGGUGGAUGCAUUGAAAGUAAGGUAUGGACAGAUUGACUUAAUAACAUGGUGUUGUAUUACUCUUUCAAUUAUAUUUUAACAUCGUAGUUUAAUUGGAAGUGAAAUUUAAAAAUAUAAAAAAAAGAAUUAAGAAUGUGAUUUAACUAAAGAUGCAAAUAUUAUCAAAAUAUCUUUUGAAUCUUGUGACCUCAAAAAUAAUAUCACGUGAGAUAAUAGAGCUAAAAAUGCAAAAUGAAUCACAGUAAGUACAAAUAAUACAAUAUUGAGAGGGAUUUAUUUUUCUCUUUUUUUUUAAUUUGAUAAAGCUGAGUCAACUUUAGCAGAUAUUGCAAGCAAAAACUAGAAAUUUGAACGAGUAUGAAAAGGGGAAAAAGAAAGAACUUCUCUUUAUUGAAUAUGGAGAAAAGGUCAAAUACAGUAGCUCAAAGAAAUCUAUAGUAGUAAUAAUCCAAGGUCCCACAUUCAGCAACCUGGCCCAAAACGCGCUUAAGGACAAUGAUUAUGAGUCAUUUUCUUGAAAGUAAGCACAUCACUAUUUAAACAUUGAAGCUGACUAAUAGACAGCAACAACCAAACAAAUACAAAGCAAUAGUUGAAUGGAGAUAAUUCAGCAAACUGUUUAGGAAAAAAAUCAAGAAGGCUUGAUGGAGACUGAGAAAGUAGCAGGCAUUCAUGGUUGUUGCCCAAAUCCUCUCCUUAUACUACUCGAGCAUCCGAACCAGCAGCCUAUUUCCAAGAUCAAAAGCACAACUGCCGCUUGCCGCCACAGCUUUGCAGCCACAACAACUUCCUCUUUCUUCCCAAAUACUCAUUUCACUAACCAUGAAUCCCUUCCUUCAUAUCAAGAAUCAUUUGCUCAGUUCCUCAAAGCCUAUCCAAAGUAUUCAGAAACUCGCCAAGUCGACAAAAUUCGGAAUCAAGAAUACUAUCAUCUGUCAGUUUCCAAUCAUGUGUGCCUGGAUUAUAUUGGCAUUGGUCUCUUCUCUUACUCACAGGUUCAAUCACAGGUUACUGCACUUGUCCCGGUGACAUCCUCUUCUACUCCGUCGUCUCAUGAAUGGAGCGAUUAUCCUUUCUUUGACAUAUCUUGCAAGUCUGUCAAUCUCAAAUCCGAGCUAUUACAUGGUGGUCAUGGAUCACAAUUGGAAUCCAGUAUCAAGAAAAAGAUUAUGAAUUUUCUUAACAUAUCUCCAAAUGAAUAUUCCUUGGUUUUUACUGCUAAUAGAUCAUCAGCUUUCAAGCUUAUAGCGGAAUCAUACCCUUUCAAAACUAGUCAAAAGCUUCUUACUGCUUAUGACCAUGAGAGUGAAGCAUUGGAGACCAUGGUCAAUACAUCAGAAAAAAGAGGGGCCAACAUAAUGUCGGCAGAAUUCAAGUGGCCACGGCUAAGAAUUAACUCCGCAAAACUCAGGAAACUAAUUAUAAGGAAGAAUAAGAAGAAAAAGAAAUCCAGGGGACUGUUUGUUUUCCCCCUUCAGUCAAGAGUGACUGGAGCCAGUUACUCUUAUCAGUGGAUGAGUUUGGCGCAGGAAAAUGGUUGGCAUGUCUUGCUUGAUGCAUGUGCAUUGGGACCAAAGGACAUGGAUAGCUUCGGACUUUCUCUCAUCCAUCCUGACUUCCUUAUUUGCUCUUUCUACAAGGUUUUUGGUGAAAAUCCUACAGGGUUCGGGUGCCUUCUUGUCAAGAAAUCAGUUGUAUCGGUGUUGGAAGCUUCUGUUAGUACAGGCAAUGUAAGUCUUAUUCCACCAACGCAACUCUUAAAUUCACUAGAUUCAUCAGGCAGUGGCACGGAGCUUGAACAAAAAACCAACUUUGUUACCAAACUGGAUGAGCUGCAUAUAUCUGGCUCUUAUUCAGCUCACAAUGGUAAAUCUGAAAACAAUUUGAACUCAACGAAAGAGGGAGGAGUUGCUCCAAAGGAAAAGAGCAAAGAGGAAUCAGAUCAAUCCAUUAGUACACUAGGCAACAACACUAAGCUGGAAGAAAAGGGAAGCAUAGAGAUUCAAUGCAGGUGCUUAGAUCAUGUGGAUUCGCUGGGACUGAUGCAAAUUGGUAGUAGAAGAAGGUAUCUAGUCAAUUGGCUUAUUAGUGGACUCCUGAAACUUCAGCAUCCAAAUAGAUUGGACCAUUUUCCUCUGGUCAAAAUUUAUGGACCAAAGAUAAAAUUUGAUAGGGGAACGGCUAUGGCAUUUAAUCUGUUUGACUGGAAAGGAGAAAGGGUGGAACCAAUUCUUAUUCAGAAACUUGCUGACCGAAACAAUAUAUCUCUCAGCCAUGGAUUUCUGUCACACUUGUGGUUUCCAGACAAGUAUGAGGAAGAGAAGCAGCGGACUAUAGAAAGAAAAAAGGGUGACGAAAACGAUGCAGAGAGCAAAAAAUCUAAAAAAACUGACCUUAGGAUAUCAGUAGUUACCAUUGCCCUUGGCUUUCUGGCCAACUUUGAAGACGUUUA
rnacentral:lncRNA from 1 species